rnacentral:rRNA from 1 species
AGAAGUGAGAAUGCCGGUAUGAGUAGCGAAAGAUGGGUGAGAAUCCCGUCCACCGAAUGCCUAAGGUUUCCUGAGGAAGGCUCGUCCGCUCAGGGUUAGUCAGGACCUAAGCCGAGGCCGACAGGCGUAGGCGAUGGACAACAGGUUGAUAUUCCUGUACCACCUCUUUAUCGUUUGAGCAAUGGAGGGACGCAGAAGGAUAGAAGAAGCGUGCGAUUGGUUGUGCACGUCCAAGCAGUUAGGCUGAUAAGUAGGCAAAUCCGCUUAUCGUGAAGGCUGAGCUGUGAUGGGGAAGCUCCUUAUGGAGCGAAGUCUUUGAUUCCCCACUGCCAAGAAAAGCUUCUAGCGAGAUAAAAGGUGCCUGUACCGCAGACCGAGACCGGUAGGGGAGGA